CUCUACGGAAUAGUCCUGGGAAACUGGGGGUAAUACCGUAUACGCCCUUUGGGGGAAAGAUUUAUCGGGGAAGGAUUAGCCCGCGUUGGAUUAGGUAGUUGGUGGGGUAAUGGCCUACCAAGCCGACGAUCCAUAGCUGGUUUGAGAGGAUGAUCAGCCACACUGGGACUGAGACACGGCCCAGACUCCUACGGGAGGCAGCAGUGGGGAAUCUUAGACAAUGGGGGCAACCCUGAUCUAGCCAUGCCGCGUGAGUGAUGAAGGCCUUAGGGUUGUAAAGCUCUUUCAGCUGGGAAGAUAAUGACGGUACCAGCAGAAGAAGCCCCGGCUAACUCCGUGCCAGCAGCCGCGGUAAUACGGAGGGGGCUAGCGUUGUUCGGAAUUACUGGGCGUAAAGCGCACGUAGGCGGACCGGAAAGUUGGGGGUGAAAUCCCGGGGCUCAACCUCGGAACUGCCUUCAAAACUACUGGUCUUGAGUUCGAGAGAGGUGAGUGGAAUUCCGAGUGUAGAGGUGAAAUUCGUAGAUAUUCGGAGGAACACCAGUGGCGAAGGCGGCUCACUGGCUCGAUACUGACGCUG
rnacentral:rRNA from 1 species